AUCACCCGGCUGUACAUUUUCCAGGUUCACCCUGGAAAUGAUGCUGGUAAUACCUGGUAUUACAUGGUAAUCCAUGGAAAUCCCUGGUAAAUGAUGACUUUUCCAUAUUCUGUUACAUGAAAUGUGGUAUAAUUUCCAUGUAAUGCGGAAUUUUAUUUCCAGCCUUUUCCAGCAUAGGCUGGACUAUGAUGGAAAGAGGCUGGACAACAGAGGUAAAAGGCUGGAAACCUCUGGAAAUGAUUCCAUGGCAUCAUGGAAAGUGGAACUUAGUAAUUUUUAAGGCUGGAAAAAUAUGGAAAAAACUUUGAAAUUUUACAGACCACCAUGGAAAGAACUUAGUUAUUUUUUAAUCAAAAUAACAGGAAUAAAUUCAAAGUGCUUCUUUUUCAGUCCAGGGUGGUAAAGGCUGAUCAUGACUAUUGCAAGCUUGCAGAAAGCUUACGCAAGCUUGUGUGUAUUAACAUACAGAAUUCUGAAAGCUUGCGAUAGCUUUGCAAGCUUGCGCAAGCUUUUUUAGUUGCAAGCUUGCACAAGCUAUUUCUGUUAAAGCAGGACUUAGAAAAUUUCAUGCAAGUUGUAAGGUGGGAAGCAAUAAAAAAUUCUAAGUUGAGAAACAUGGAAAAAAUUAUAAAAAUCAUUAUUUGAUGAUAAUCUAUUUUUAUUUUAACAUAUUGGUAUUCAAAUUAAAUGACAUGAAACAAAGAAUCUAAAUAUCAGGUAAACAUUUAUUUUUUCUAUAUAUGUCUAUAAUAAGGGCAUGUCACACUAAAUACCAAAACUAUCAAUUUGUCUGUAGCAUGCACAAUAUAAAUGAGACAAUAAAAUAUGACAAAAAAAUAUCUUUAACACUUUUUUUUAUACAUUUUAUGUUGAGAAUGUCUGAAUUGAUCAUACAGAGAAAACUGUACAAGUGUACAUGUAAGUAUAUAAGUCAUAUGGAAUAAUAUAUGAUAUACAGAUGAUAUUCUCUUAACUUUUACUCAGUAGCAAAGCUGCCAUUUUUAGAGGAUGGGGUUAGUUAUAUAUAAUCUGACAAUUUUUUUUUUCAAAUUUUUCUGUCCAGAAAGAGGAAAUCAGCUCAAAAAGGAAAAAUCACAUCCUUGAAAUUUUAAACUAAUACUAAAAUUUAUUGAAAUAUCCUGCUUUUUUCUCCUAGAAAACAACAGCUGCAGCAACAGUAAUUGCAUGAAAUAGUACAAUUCUUUUCACAAAUUCAUUAAAAGUUACCUGGCAAAGGGAUUCCUAGAUAAGUGAUAAAUCAUUUGGGUCUAUUAAUCUACUACAGUGUAUGUAUUUUGCUUGUCUCACUACAGGCAAAGAAGUAUAAAAUUGAUUUUUAUAGCUCUUUGCUACAGGAGAUUAUCUCAUGCAGAUUGAUAAGAUCUGGCACAUGCUUUAUAUUUAGAAACUCAUAACAAGAGAUCAACCAAUGAAAAUAAAGUCAGGGAACUACUUCUGGGGGCUGUACAUGUACCACAAAAAGUAAUCCAUAGUUUUUUUUCUGUUUUAUAUCAGAGUAAUCUUCAGAAUUUAUGAGUAUGUGAUUGAAUGGAAUAAAAUCUUCCUCUAGUACAAAAAUAUUUUAACAUCAUAGAUGUAUCAUUACCUUCAUUAGCUGACUGUAAAUGGCACAUUUGCCCAAGAAUAUCAAAAUUUCAAAUCUACACAGGAAGUUCUUUGACAGAGAGCAGAAUAGAGUAAAUAUUUGGGAGAGUGUUUCCCUAAAUAUUUUACUAUGUGCAGCUUAUUUCAUCUUGGAAGUUAACAAUAAUUAACAGAAUGCACCAGGUGAGUUCAUAAAAUUUAUUUAUUUUCAAAAAGUAAUCUAGAUUACCUUUAACAAUGUCAAAACUAGAACAAUGGAUUCUAACAGGAAGCAGGUGGUUUAGUUUUCACUGUGUAAUAAAACAAAAUUAAUGAUUUUUACUUCUUGUCAUUUUGUUCCACUGCAACUAUUAUGCAGCUGCAAUUUCUAAUUUAUCAUGCUUUUAAUUUAUAAGAAGGAAAAUUGGAUAUUCUUUUUAAAUGAAAAUAUCAAAUGGAGCAAAAAAAAAAAAAAGGCCUGUAGAGUUAUCUCCACAGGUGGCACUACUGAGUAAACAAUGCUACCAGUCUGCUGACUACAAUAUUACACAGUAUAUUCAGGGAAUACUUGGUUUAAAUCAAUGUUUUUAACCUGUUAUUAUAUGAAAAUUAUUUUUUAACAGGAAGAAAUGUUUAUGGAUAAUUUAGUUAUCAUUACCUUUAUUGAAACAGCAGAACAUUAUAUCGAAAAUUUAGCAAAAAUACACAUAUUAAGCAGCUUUUUGUUAUUUAUAGGUACUUUUAUUGUAAAACUACAUUUAUCACUUAGUCUAGUUCUUUUCAAUAUUAAUAUGAUUUUCAAAUUUUCAACAAAAAAGUAGCAUCUUUAAUAAUGGGAAUUGCAUGUCUAGUCCAAGUCUGUUAUAACUUUUUAGAAUUUUUAUUUUUAGAAUUUUAUUCAUAGAAUACUAUGAAGCAAAAAAAAAAGUACAAACAGUACUGUCAACUGAUGAAUGCAUCAGAGACAUUUUUUGGCCUCAUUAUUCAUCACAAUGUACAGUUUCAAUUUUAGAUCAUUAUACCCAAUAAUAAACUAUGAAAAAAUUAUGGACAUCUAAGUGUUAAAUUAAAUCUAUUUUUCAGGUAUAGCAUCAUAUGUGUAUAUAAAGAAUCAGCACACAUGAAUGAAUUGAGACAUGUUUAUUGACCCAAUGUGUUGUGUUCAAAGGCUCCAUCCAACAGUUCAAAGACAUGUCAUAGCAGUGGAGCAAAUGGUGGCAAAUGAUGGCUUUGUGGUGGUUAGUGAAAAACUGUGGCAAUCUACAUUGGUGGUGGCAAACACUGACAGAAAAUUUCUGGACCAGCAGUGACAUUAAGUUGAAAAUAAUGACAUAUUUUACACUGUACUGAAGAUGUAAUUGCGAAAAUAAUUCAAGAAAUAAUAUAUCUCAUUCAGUGAUUUGUCGCUGAAUAAAUCAUUGUUUCGAGUUCAGAUGUGAAGGAAUUAUAUCACGAGGGCGCAACAUUACUGAAAGGAUUUUCUUCAAACUUUCACAAGUGAACAAUCUUGACGGGUAGAUACAACUACAAUUACAUUGCAUCCAAAAUCUGUGGCACAGAAACCAGUAGGGGACUAUGUAUUGCCUUGCAAUACUUCAGCACCUUGUUGUUUUAUAUGUGUAACCUGUAAAUGAUUAUUGGUGUGUUUUAUAAAGUUAAGAAGUCCUAGAUGAAAAUUUUAGUUUUAAUUUUAGCCUCACCUAUGGACAUGCACUGCUUAGGAGAGCUCAUUUGUGAUCAUCCUUUGUCCAGGACCGUGAAUCAAACCUACAACCUGCUGCACACAGCAUUUUCAUUUAGGAUAUAAUCAUAUGGGGUAUAACUUUUUGCUAUUUCAGGCUGGAAUAAUUUCCAGGUUAUACCAGGCUCAUUUUCCAGCAUUCCCUGGAAAAUUUACCAUGGUAAAACCUGGAACAUUUUCCAGCCUAAUCCAGGCUAUGCUGGAAAAUGUUCCAGGCUUUUCCAGACUUUGGUUAAAAAACGGUCCGAAUACUCCAGGUUCAUGGAAAAACAGGAAUUUUAUUCCUGGCAGCCUGGAAGAUGUUCCAGAUUUUACCAUGGUAUAUUUUCCAGGGAUGCUGGUACAUCAUGGUACAUAUUCCAGCCUUGGCUUUUUCAAAUUUUCCGCACUGAUAAUUUGGUUAGGCUGGAAAAGGCUGGAAACUUAGUCCGAAUACUCCAGGCUUUUUUUUCCCAUGGAAUUCCAUGGUAAACCCUGGAACUAUUUCACCCGGGCAGU
rnacentral:lncRNA from 1 species